CCUUUUCCUGGCAGCCAGGGUUUUCUUGAACUACACUUCUCAUCUUCUCAUGUGAACUUGGACUUAAACAGCACAGAUUCCUCCUGUCAGGAGCAGUUUUACACCCAGAAGAGUCAAAAACUGAACACAGCAUCUGUGUGAUUGUAUUGAAGAUUUUAGAACAAGUUCCAGAACUUAUCAAGUUUUUUCAAGUAAUUCAAAAGGCUCUCACCCUCACCAAGGGACUUUGAAGAAAACAAAAUAGAUUUUUCACUGCUGAGAGGACUGAGCUUUGGCCAACAGCGUUGUGUAUGCCAGCCCUGUUCAGCUCAUCCAUGGAGAGACUGUGACCACCGCUUGGUGAGUCCAUGCUUUGGGAGGUGUCCCCACAGAAAGCCCCAUAGAGACGUCUC